rnacentral:tRNA from 1 species
UGUAGCUCAGUUUGGUUAGAGCACUACACUCAAAAUGUAGGUUAAUGGUAAGCCGAAAGGCGUGUUGGUUCGAGUCCAAUUUUCUGACUCCCA